GAAAAACUCUGGCAAUAGUAAUUAAGAGAAGUAAUUACAGUAGAAGCGAUUUAGGGAAAAUCAAUACUUUUACACUUGGAAGAUCAACAGUCAUGACAAUAUAAGUAGUAUGAAUCCAUUAAGCGAGCUGGAGCAACAAAUUAAUAUAUCCAACCAAGUAUCAAAAUAUUAACGUAUUUCAUAAAAUUUGGAAAUCCCACCUAGCAGUACUAAAAUGAAUUCA
rnacentral:misc_RNA from 1 species